rnacentral:snRNA from 1 species
GGGUUUGGUUGAUCCCAUUAAGA